rnacentral:tRNA from 1 species
GGUGUAGUUCAGUUGGUUAGAGCACCAGAUUGUGGAUCUGGGUGUCGUGGGUUCGAGUCCCAUUACC